UACGUAGGGUGCAAGCGUUAAUCGGAAUUACUGGGCGUAAAGCGUGCGCAGGCGGUUAUGUAAGUCAGAUGUGAAAUCCCCGGGCUUAACCUGGGAAUGGCAUUUGAGACUGCAUGGCUAGAGUGUGUCAGAGGGGGGGUAGAAUUCCACGUGUAGCAGUGAAAUGCGUAGAUAUGUGGAGGAAUACCGAUGGCGAAGGCAGCCCCCUGGGAUAACACUGACGCUCAUGCACGAAAGCGUGGGGAGCAAACAGG
rnacentral:rRNA from 1 species